rnacentral:lncRNA from 1 species
GAUGCACGGCCUGAGCGUGAGGAGAGAGGGUGUUAGAUCCACUCGUGGGAAGACCAGGGUCCAGGUCCAAGACCCAGGUCCACGUUCAUGGCUCCAUGAUUUAAUCACCUCGAGACCUGGGUUCAUGGCUUCCCUUUGCUGAGCUUCAACUCCCCUGCGGCAACAGGAACCCUGGCCUUGGAGACCUCGGGGACAGAGGCCACACCUGCCUGGACGCCCCCCACCCCGCCCCAGGAAGGAAGGGCUGCCCCCCAAAAGCUGACUCAGGAUCAGAAGGUAUGUACCUAAGAGAAAUAACACCUAUAUCCAUCGAAAGACUGGAAUGACAAUGGCCAAAAUGGCCAGGAAUGGAGAGAAUCCCUGCUGUCCAUCAACACAACGGGUGAAGCGAACUGUUCAGACACGAUGAAACACUACUCAACAAUGAAAAAGAAGGAACUACUGAUACAAACGACACAGUGAAUCUCAAGGUUGCUAAACAGGUGGGCAGACAGAAAACGCCCCCUAAAGGCACCCAGUACUAACCCCAGAAACUGGGAGGAGGUCGGGUGCCCUGGCAAAGCGAAUUCAGGUUGCCGAGCUGCCGAGCUUAAAUAGGUAGAGGACCCUAAAUUAUCCAGGUGGGCCCAUGUGACCACAAGGGUCUUUAAGGGUCAAACAGAGGUGACGUUCCUGCUGUGGGGCCUCGGGUUCCGCAGCAGCAGCACCAGGUUCCGUCCCAGCCCGGCACAGUGGUUCAAGGAUCUGGCGUUGCUGCUGCAGCUGCUGCGAUGUCACAGCUGCGGCUCAGACCUGACUCCUGGCCCGGGAACGGGGGUGGAGGCUGGGCUGGCGGGGCUGGCUUGGAAGACGGAGGUUUAACACUGAUACGAGUGUAUACUGGGCUCUCAUUUCCUGGCUCAUGGCUCCCAAACGCUUAUCAUCACCUAGGCGACUAGAGCGUGAGGGACACCUCUCGUUAUAACAUUUGGUUUUUGUCCUUGGUUCCUGAAAUAGCUGUGAAAUAAUGUCGGGAAAAUGGGGGUUUUUCAUAAGAAACCUAUGAGUUCAUGCUCAGGGGGUGACUUCUGGAAAGCUGCCCAGAACCCUUUAGGGCUGAUUGAUGAGAAGGCCGGUUGAUUAGAAAGUUGGAACUUUCAGCCCCACCCCUGACCAGGAAGGGGAGGGCCUGGGAGGUUGACUUAAUCACCAGUAGCCAAAAGCUGAAGUCCUGCCUCUGUAAUGACGCCUUCGUAAAAAACAAAAACGAAGGGGUUCGGGGAGCCUACCAGUUGGUGAACAAAACUGCAUCCACACUCCCCGUGGACAGAAGCUCCAGCACGUGGGACCCUUCUGGACCACAGCCCGUGUACCUCUUGGUCUGGCCAUCCAGCCGUAGCCUUUAACAUCCUUGCAAUGAUGUGGGUUUUCUAAGGUGUUUUGGUUCUAUAGACUUAAAGGAAAACACACAACUAGGAGCUGAGAGUUUGGGUUUUAUCUGGGGAGCUCACUGUGGACUUCAGCCCGGGAGACGGGCUCUCGGUAGCUCUGAGGAACUGCUCUGAAGAGGCAGGACAGGAGCCAGCAGCUGUGAGUCUGGUCCAGGGAAGGCACAUGCCAUCCAGGACACAGCUUGGAGUUCCCGUCGUUGCUCCGCAGAAACGAACCUGACUAGUAUCCAUGAGGACACAGAUUCGAUCCCUAGCCUCUCGAAGCGGGUGGAGGAUCUGGUGUUGCUGUGAGCUGUGGUGUAGGCUCUCCAAUGCUGUGAUUCUCACUGCCCUUCCUGCUGGGCGCUGCCACAGAACAGUGCUUCAUAACAAGCCGAUACUCUAGUAAGUGACUGUCUUCCUGAGGUCGUGAGCCACGCUGGCAAGUCAACUGUGCCCCAGGAGGGGGCUCCAGGAACCUCCAUCGUACAGCCAGUCAUAGAUGCACAGGCGACUACCUGGACUUGCAACUGGCACCUGAAGCUCGGGGGUGCAGGCGGCCUUGAGGAACUGAGCCCUUAGGCUGCAGAUGAUGGACCGAAUCAGAGCACACCCAGCUGGUGGUGCAGCGUCACCUGGGGUUGGGGGAAAUAAACAGAAGCGGAGUGCAGAGUAUUCGGUGGGAAGUGAGUCAGGGAAACCUUUUAUCUAUACAGGGGGCCAUGAGCCAAGAAAGGCAGGCAGCUCUAGAAGCUAGAGAGGGCAGGAAACAGACUCCCCCUCCCACAUCCAGAGAGAACAGCCUGCAGACACCUCGAUUCUAGCCCAGCGAGACUCAGGACAGACGUCCAUCGAAGAAAGUUUUAGGGUGAUAAAUGUGUGUUGUUUAAACGGCUAAAUUUGCAAUAAUUUCUAACAGCAGCCGUAGAAAUCUAAUACAGCUAACGAAGAGAAUUUCCACGUGGAAUCGCAAAUACUAUAUGAUUCCAACUUUGUAAAGCCCAAGAAUAGGCCAAUGUAAUCUACGAUGGGAAAAACAAACCAAAACAGAACAGAACAGUGGUUCUGUGUGGGAAUGGGGUGGAGAGGAGCUGGGAGCCAGAGGGAACCUCUGAGUUGAUGGUGCUGCUCUCUGCACUGAUAAGGUCAGCAAAGCGUACGCAUUUAUCCAAACGCAGGGAAUAGGAGUUCCCGUCGUGGCUCAGUGGGAAGGAAGCCGACUAGGAUCCACGAGGACGCGGGGAUCGAACCUGCAACCUCACUGUUCCUAGUUGGAUUCGUUUCCGCUGUGCCACAAUGGGAACUCCAUAAUUUUUUUUUUAAAGUUGGUUGCGCCCACAGCAUGUGGAAAUUCCCAGGCCAGGAACUGAACCCAAGGCACAGCAGUGGCUAUGCCAAAUCCCCAACUUUUAGGCCACCAGGGAACUCCCAUGGCUAAAUUUUAUUUCCUUCCUUCUAUUGGUAUCUUAGAAGCUUCCCUCAAUAACCAUGGAUUCUAUCAUGAUUGAAAGGUUAUUCUUUAAAAGCCAGUGCCAAUGGCAGCCUUUUCGCCGUGGAUGGGGACUUGCGGAUCCCACGAAGGCCGGCAAGAACCACGUGGAGACACAACCACAGGGCUUUGGAGAACAGGCGCUGGCACACUCUCCCGACAGGUUCUCAACCAGCGCUGCCUCAUCUUCUGAAAACGGGACAAGGUGACACUGGAAUUGGAAGGCUUUUCAUCUGCAGACUUGCAUGGGGUCUCGGAGGGGAAAGUGUGGUAAGGGGACAGAUGGUGCUUGACGAGGGGACUCCACAGAAGGGUCUGGAAAGAAGAGUGGGAGGAAGCCCAGGGUGUGCUUGUGGGGCGUGGCUCCGAGGCCCUUGAUGGGGAGGCGUGCCUCUUGUCCCUGCAUCCCCUGCCUGGGGAAGGAUGCUGCACAUCUCCAGAACUGGCGACAGAGACCCUCGGCCCUGGCCUUGGCCAGCCCGGCUACGCUUCCAGAUAAAGCCAAGACUUUGCACCUGACACCCAGCACUUAGCUUGAGUCCUGCUGGUCAGGGGGUAGCUCCCCUUUACAGACUUAACCCGGGGUCGGAAUGGCCAAGUGACUGGCCCAGGGUCACUCAUAUUUGUGUAGAACAAAACUUAACGCUAUUGGUCUCUCAUCCAGAAUAUUUCUUCAUGCCUGCAGUCUUGGCUGAAGAAAAUUUACAUAAGACCCUCUGCUCUUUUACAAAGAGAGAAAAAUGGGUAAAAUUAAUUGAGAUCCUUGCAUUCUACUUUCCAGCAAACACCCUAAAAAAAGUUUGCCCUAAAAAAAGUCAGUGAAGGCCUAUCUAUUCUGAAAGAGCAAGAAAACACAAUGCUUCCUUCCACGAAUAACACAUGAACACUACAGCUCAUUUUCUCUAAAAGACGGACUCUGCUUCCGGGGGAAACAGGCAAACGGGCAGAGCUGAAGAAGCACCAGACGAUACAGUUUCUCCUGUCAAAGCCCCGGACACAUGAGGCUCAGUGAAUGGGAGAAAACUCCACACACACGCGGGCGCUGAGUGCUGGCCGGAGGGUGUCCUCACCAAAGCUCAGGUCCACCUGCAACGUGUGCCGGUGACCUUGCUUGGAAAGGGCUUUAAAGAUGGGAUAGGAUGAGGCCACAUGGGAAGAGCACGGCCCUCCUCUGAUGACCGGGCUCCUUCCGAGCAGAGGGACAUGUGGGCACAGACGUGGAGGAAAGGCCACAUGGACGCGGACAGGGGCUGGAGUGGGGCGGCCACCAGCCGGCAGCGCCUGCAAAUGCUGGACGGUGCCCCCAGCACCUCCAGAGAGGACGCGGCUCUGCCCACCCUGGAUUUCAGACUUGUGGCCUCCGGGACCAGGAGAGAAUCGUCUCCUGGUCCUUUAAGGCCCGCGGUUUGCGGUGAUCUGCGACGACAGCCCCAGGACACUGACAGAGGCAAGACCUCCAUUCCUGGGACCUGCCAGACCAGCGGCCUCAGAGGCCACGAGACAGGGAGGCAGCGAGCGCCCAGCUCCAGGCAGGUUCCUACAGCGCCUGCACGUCUCCUGCACGUUGACAGAGCCGCCCCGCUCCCGCUCGCAGGCAGAGCCGAACGUCUAACAGUGUUUGUCUAACACACAACCGGGGUGGAAGACGGCCUGACGCCCCGAGCACCAACCUGAUUCUUGUCCUGUGACUCCUGAGCGUUGGAGGUUUGGGCCAGCAUCACGGCCCCUGGGAGGGAGAUGAGACGCGUGGGCUGGAGGGAGCGCAGAGGGGCCAAGAAGGCCCGAGACGUUCUGUCUCAUCCCCCCUGCCCGCAGGCUGUGCUUCACGGGCUCCCAGAGCCGCCACACUGGGCCCUGUCCCAUCUGUCUUCCCUGAGCCAGGGCCACGUGCAGCCUUGUCCUCCUCUGGCAGCAUCUCAGCUGGUGCCACCUGAGGUCAGAACCCCCCCAAACUGAGGGGGGCCUUUGCCAGGCAUCGCUCACCAAGAAUAGCUCCUCAUGGAUUUCUGAGCAGGCCCCCACUUUAAUUUUCCUCCCGGCGUUGAGAGAGCAAACGCUGAGUCCAUCACCAAAUGUCUGUGUUUCAGGACAAGAGACACGAGACACGAAGCGAGAGCCUUGCUGUCAGAGGGCAUUUCUCACCCUCUCGCUAGACAUGGCCCUGUCUCCGGGUCUGGCAGCUGGAUGUGAAGGGGACACGUCCUUCCCAGCAGAGCCAUUAACAGUGGCUGCCUUCACCUCUCCUUCCAACUGCUGGCCAGAAGGCUGAACCUGAGUCAGAAUUCAAGGGCAUCUUUGAGCUCGGAUGCCAGGAAAAAAUCACAUCUUUAUUUCAAACCUUGACCUGGUCUUUCUGUUGCCUUCAACUGUGAACACAGGUUAAAAAAAAAAAAAA